CCUACGGGAGGCAGCAGUGAGGAAUAUUGGUCAAUGGGCGCAAGCCUGAACCAGCCAAGUCGCGUGAGGGAUGACGGUCCUAUGGAUUGUAAACCUCUUUUGUCGGGGAGAAAGGCCCGCCACGUGUGGCGGGAAGGAGAGUAGCCGAAGAAAAAGCAUCGGCAAACUCCGUGCCAGCAGCCGCGGUAAUAGGGAGGAUGCGAGCGUUAUCCGGAUUUAUUGGGGUUAAAGGGUGCGUAGGCGGAAGGUUAAGUCAGCGGUAAAAUGUAGGUGUUAAACACCGACCUGCCGUUGAAACUGGUCUUCUUGAGUGAGCGAGAGGGAUGCGGAAUGCGUGGUGUAGCGGUGAAAUGCAUAGAUAUCACGAAGAACUCCGAUUGCGAAGGCAGCAUACCGGCGCUCAACUGACGCUGAGGCACGAAAGCGUGGGGAUCGAACAGGAUUAGAUACCCCAGUAGUC
rnacentral:rRNA from 1 species